GCAUCGAUGGUUCAGUGGUAAAAUGCUCGCCUGCCACGCGGGUGGCCCGGGUUCGAUUCCCGGCCGAUACC
rnacentral:tRNA from 1 species